rnacentral:lncRNA from 1 species
AAAAUAUUAAUUAAAAUAGUUUAUAAUGAUACCGGAGGGUUGAGAUGGGAUGAUAAGGAUCUCUUUUCUCUUAAUUAAAGGUAUUAAGUUUAAACCUUAAGUAUGAAGUCGCUUUAAACAUUCGGAAAGAAACGCUUUGCCUUUUUAGUGGGCUUACGCUAUGCGAAUUUGGAUUAAUUGGGUCAAUGGAUUUGCCUCCUUAGUGGGCUU